rnacentral:misc_RNA from 1 species
AAGUCGUAACAAGGUUUCCGUAGGUGAACCUGCGGAAGGAUCAUUAAACAUAUUGCGGGGGGCCGGACCCAAGGUGCGCAGACACGGUUUCAAUAGAGGCCGUUGCGAGUGUGCUUUGACCUGCCCUGUCUGAAUAUUCUACCCAUGUCUUUUGCGUACUGUUUGUUUCCUUGGUGGGCUUGCCCGCCAAUAGGACAUCAUAAACCCUUUUGUAAUUGCAGUCAGCGUCAGAAAAACACAAUAAUUACAA